CCAACGCCCUUCGGGGCUUCUUGGUGAUUCAUGAUAACUUCACGGAUCGCAUGGCCUUGCGCCGGCGAYGGUUCAUUCAAAUUUCUGCCCUAUCAACUUUCGAUGGUAAGGUAUUGGCUUACCAUGGUUUCAACGGGUAACGGGGAAUUAGGGUUCGAUUCCGGAGAGGGAGCCUGAGAAACGGCUACCACAUCCAAGGAAGGCAGCAGGCGCGCAAAUUACCCAAUCCCGACACGGGGAGGUAGUGACAAUAAAUACUGAUACAGGGCUCUUUUGGGUCUUGUAAUUGGAAUGAGUACAAUUUAAACCUCUUAACGAGGAACAAUUGGAGGGCAAGUCUGGUGCCAGCAGCCGCGGUAAUUCCAGCUCCAAUAGCGUAUAUUAAAGUUGUUGCAGUU
rnacentral:rRNA from 1 species